GACGAACGCUGGCGGCGUGCUUAACACAUGCAAGUCGAACGAAGUGGCGAACGGGUGAGUAACGCGUAAUCAACCUGCCCUUCAGAGGGGGACAACAGUUGGAAACGAAUGCUAAUACCGCAUACUGAAGGAGGGGUUUGCGUUGGGUUGGCUAGUUGGAGGGGUAACGGCCCACCAAGGCGAUGAUCAGUCGCCGGGCUGAGAGGAGGAACUGCCACAAGUGGACCUAGGAACGGCUCAGACUCCCAAGGGAGGCAGCAGUUGGGAAACGUCCGAAAUUGAGGAAAGUCCGACGGAGGAAAGGCGCGGGAGAGGUGACGGCCUUCGGGGUGUAAAGGUCGUUUAAGCGGGACGCGUUACCGGAAUAGAAAGCAACGGCUAACUACGUGCCAGCAGCCGCGGUAAUAC
rnacentral:rRNA from 1 species